GACGAACGCUGGCGGCGUGCCUAAUACAUGCAAGUAGAACGCUGAAGAGAGGAGCUUGCUCUUCUUGGAUGAGUUGCGAACGGGUGAGUAACGCGUAGGUAACCUGCCUUGUAGCGGGGGAUAACUAUUGGAAACGAUAGCUAAUACCGCAUAACAAUGGAUGACACAUGUCAUUUAUUUGAAAGGGGCAAUUGCUCCACUACAAGAUGGACCUGCGUUGUAUUAGCUAGUAGGUGAGGUAAUGGCUCACCUAGGCGACGAUACAUAGCCGACCUGAGAGGGUGAUCGGCCACCCUGGGACUGAGACACGGCCCAGACUCCUACGGGGAGCAGCAGGAGGGAAUCUUCGGCAAUGGGGGCAACCCUGACCGAGCAACGCCGCGUGAGUGAAGAAGGUUGUCGGAUCGUAAAGCUCUGUUGUAAGUCAAGAACGGGUGUGAGAGUGGAAAGUUCACACUGUGACGGUAGCUUACCAGAAAGGGACGGCUAACUACGUG
rnacentral:rRNA from 1 species